rnacentral:ncRNA from 1 species
CAAAGGCUUGGUCCUGACUUUACUAUCAGCUUUAACCAAAUUUACACAUGCAAGUAUCCGCAUCCCAGUGAGAAUGCCCCACAGUUCUCUACUUGAGAACAAGGAGCUGGUAUCAGGCACAUUCAAUUCAAUGCCCACAACACCUUGCUCAGCCACGCCCUCAAGGGAAUUCAGCAGUGAUAAACAUUAAGCUAUAAGUGAAAACUUGACUUAAUUAAAGUUAAAAGAGUCGGUAAAACUCGUGCCAGCCACCGCGGUUAUACGAGAGACUCAAGUUGAUAGACAACGGCGUAAAGAGUGGUUAAGAAAACAUCUCACUAAAGCCAAAUACUUUCAAAGCUGUUAUACGCACCCGAAAUGUAAGAAGCCCAACCACGAAAGUGGCUUUAUUCCACCUGAACCCACGAAAGCUAUGACACAAACUGGGAUUAGAAACCCCACUAUGCUUAGCCCUAAACAUCGAUCAUAUUUCACAUCCACAAUCCGCCUGGGAACUACGAGCAUUAGCUUAAAACCCAAAGGACUUGGCGGUGCUUAAAAUCCACCUAGAGGAGCCUGUUCUAGAACCGAUAACCCCCGUUCAACCUCACCCUCCCUUGUUUUUCUCCGCCUAUAUACCGCCGUCGUCAGCCUACCCUGUGAAAGUAUUAUAGUAAGCAAAGCUAGUAUAAACCCAAAACGUCAGGUCGAGGUGUAGCGCAUGAGAGGGGAAGAAAUGGGCUACAUUCAUUAACAUAAUGAACUACGGAUGGCAUACUGAAACAAAUGCCAGAAGGAGGAUUUAGCAGUAAGUAAAAAAUAGAGUGUUUUACUGAAACUGGCCCUAAAGCGCGCACACACCGCCCGUCACUCUCCCCAAGCAUCCACUCACAUAUAACCUAAAAACAAAUAACUGCUAAGGGGAGGCAAGUCGUAACAUGGUAAGUGUACCGGAAGGUGCACUUGGAAAAAU